CGAGCGGGGCAGUUAGCUUGCUACUGGACCUAUCCGCGGACGGGUGCGUAAUGCUUAUGAAUCUGUCUAUUGCUGUUGGACCACAUCUCAAACGGGAUGCCAUUACCGCAUACCUCCUACGCGAUAAAGCAGGGUAUCUUCAUCCCUUGCGCCAAUCCAUGAUCCUACUUCUGAUUAGCUAAUUGGUGGGGUAAAGGCCUACCAAGGCGACGAUCUGUAGCGGGUCUGAUAGGAUGAUCCGCCACACUGGGACUGAGACACGGCCCAAACUAAUACGGGAGGCAGCAGUGGGGAAUAUUGGACAAUGGGGGGAACCCUGAUCCAGCCAUGCCGCGUGUGUGAAGAAGGCCUUAUGGUUGUAAAGCACUUUAAGCGAGGAGGAGGCUACUUUAGUUAAUACCUAGAGAUAGUGGACGUUACUCGCAGAAUAAGCACCGGCUAACUCUGUGCCAGCAGCCGCGGUAAUACAGAGGGUGCGAGCGUUAAUCGGAUUUACUGGGCGUAAAGCGUGCGUAGGCGGCUUAUUAAGUCGGAUGUGAAAUCCCCGAGCUUAACUUGGGAAUUGCAUUCGAUACUGGUGAGCUAGAGUAUGGGAGAGGAUGGUAGAAUUCCAGGUGUAGCGGUGAAAUGCGUAGAGAUCUGGAGGAAUACCGAUGGCGAAGGCAGCCAUCUGGCCUAAUACUGACGCUGAGGUACGAAAGCAUGGGGAGCAAACAGGAUUAGAUACCCUGGUAGUCCAUGCCGUAAACGAUGUCUACUAGCCGUUGGGGCCUUUGAGGCUUUAGUGGCGCAGCUAACGCGAUAAGUAGACCGCCUGGGGAGUACGGUCGCAAGACUAAAACUCAAAUGAAUUGACGGGGGCCCGCACAAGCGGUGGAGCAUGUGGUUUAAUUCGAUGCAACGCGAAGAACCUUACCUGGCCUUGACAUACUAGAAACUUUCCAGAGAUGGAUUGCUGCCUUCGGGAAUCUACAUAC
rnacentral:rRNA from 1 species